UAGGGAAUCUUCGGCAAUGGGGGCAACCCUGACCGAGCAACGCCGCGUGAGUGAAGAAGGUUUUCGGAUCGUAAAGCUCUGUUGUAAGUCAAGAACGAGUGUGAGAGUGGAAAGUUCACACUGUGACGGUAGCUUACCAGAAAGGGACGGCUAACUACGUGCCAGCAGCCGCGGUAAUACGUAGGUCCCGAGCGUUGUCCGGAUUUAUUGGGCGUAAAGCGAGCGCAGGCGGUUUGAUAAGUCUGAAGUUAAAGGCUGUGGCUCAACCAUAGUUCGCUUUGGAAACUGUCAAACUUGAGUGCAGAAGGGGAGAGUGGAAUUCCAUGUGUAGCGGUGAAAUGCGUAGAUAUAUGGAGGAACACCGGUGGCGAAAGCGGCUCUCUGGUCUGUAACUGACGCUGAGGCUCGAAAGCGUGGGGAGCGAACAGGAUUAGAUACCCUGGUAGUCCACGCCGUAAACGAUGAGUGCUAGGUGUUGGAUCCUUUCCGGGAUUCAGUGCCGCAGCUAACGCAUUAAGCACUCCGCCUGGGGAGUACGACCGCAAGGUU
rnacentral:rRNA from 1 species